rnacentral:rRNA from 1 species
GAAUUCGCCCUUAGAGUUUGCUUCUGGCUCAGGACGAACGCUGGCGGCGUGCUUAACACAUGCAAGUCGAGCGGGGACGAGGGAGCUUGCUCCUGAGUUCUAGCGGCGGACGGGUGAGUAACGCGUGAGCAACCUUUCCUUCAGUGGGGAAUAACACAGGGAAACUUGUACUAAUACCGCAUGAGACCACAGCACUGCAUGGUGCAGGGGUCAAAGAUUAAUCGCUGAAGGGUGGGCUCGCGUCCGAUUAGGUAGUUGGUGAGGUAACGGCCCACCAAGCCGACGAUCGGUAGCCGACCUGAGAGGGUGAUCGGCCACAUUGGGACUGAGACACGGCCCAAACUCCUACGGGAGGCAGCAGUGGGGAAUAUUGGGCAAUGGGGGAAACCCUGACCCAGCAACGCCGCGUGAAGGAAGAAGGCCUUCGGGUUGUAAACUUCUUUUACCAGGGACGAACACAAUGACGGUACCUGGAGAAAAAGCAACGGCUAACUACGUGCCAGCAGCCGCGGUAAUACGUAGGGGGCAAGCGUUGUCCGGAAUGACUGGGCGUAAAGGGCGUGUAGGCGGCCGAUUAAGUCUGGAGUGAAAGUCCUGCUUUCAAGGUGGGAAUUGCUUUGGAGACUGGUUGGCUUGAGUGCGGAAGAGAUAAGUGGAAUUCCCAGUGUAGCGGUGAAAUGCGUAGAGAUUGGGAGGAACACCAGUGGCGAAGGCGACUUACUGGGCCGUAACUGACGCUGAGGCGCGAAAGCGUGGGGAGCGAACAGGAUUAGAUACCCUGGUAGUCCACGCGGUAAACGAUGAAUGCUAGGUGUAGCGGGUAUCGACCCCUGCUGUGCCGCAGUAAACACAAUAAGCAUUCCGCCUGGGGAGUACGGCCGCAAGGUUGAAACUCAAAGGAAUUGACGGGGGCCCGCACAAGCAGCGGAGCAUGUUGUUUAAUUCGAUGCAACGCGAAGAACCUUACCAGGUCUUGACAUUGAUCUAAACCUGUAGAGAUACAGGGUGUCUUCGGACAAGAGAAAACAGGUGGUGCAUGGUUGUCGUCAGCUCGUGUCGUGAGAUGUUGGGUUAAGUCCCGCAACGAGCGCAACCCCUAUCUUCAGUAGCCAGCAAUAAGGAUGGGCACUCUGGAGAGACUGCCAGGGAUAACCUGGAGGAAGGUGGGGAUGACGUCAAAUCAUCAUGCCCCUUAUGACCAGGGCUACACACGUGCUACAAUGGCGUAAACAAGGGGAAGCGACCCUGUGAAGGUGAGCAAAUCUCAAAAAUAACGUCUCAGUUCGGAAUGUAGUCUGCAACUCGACUACAUGAAGCUGGAAUCGCUAGUAAUCGCGAAUCAGAAUGUCGCGGUGAAUACAAAGCCGGGUCUUGCACACACCGCCCGUCA